ACACUGUGUUCACUGUUUUGCGGGGGGAUCCCAAGAGCAAUCACCGUCUUCUUAGGAAGGACCGGCCUGUGCAAGUUUCAAUAUAAGGAAAAUUUCUGCUUCUGAGACAUAUUACCCUAAUGACUCUUGUGAAUCUUAUAACUGAUCACAUUUACUCAUUGGCUUUGACUGAAAGGAUUCUAAAACUAAACUUGUGGCUCACAUCUAAAAAUUGUCCAGGAUUCUAUGUUGGAGUCCCAGAAGAGAAAGAGAAGAAAUGGAUCUGAGGCAAUAUUCUGAAGACAUGAUUGCUGAUAAUCCACUAAUUCAAGAAGCCUUACAAAGCCCAAGCAGAAUAUGUAAAAA